UUAUAUAAGCAGCUGUCCACUGAGACUUUUUUCUGUGUGGCUUUUACACAGUACAUUGGGUAAAAAAGUAUUCUGCCUCCACCUUAGACCUUUAUCAUAUUAGUUAAGUAAUAUUUAAGAUGAAGAUAAAUCUGAUGUAAUCAUCAGAUUACACAUGCUUGCACACAACCACAGAGCGACAUAGCUCUUUUAAAACUUUACAGUAGCCUUUGCAUCAACCUUGAAGGAGCCUUUUUUAGUUUGCUCUUUAAGUGCAUUUUGCUGCGGGUAAAUAUAUCCUGCUAUGGAGGGUGGAGGCUCAUGUCGUGUUAAGAGCUUGAUUAGCAACCACCAGCAUGUUUUUAGCUAAAACUAAGCACAGGGAGAGCAAGUAUUUUCAUUAAUGGAGGCUGACUUGUGUUUAAUUCCCAAAACAAACUGUUUUAUUUUGGCAAAACAAAGCAGCUCCCAGCUGUCAGUGCAUUUAGCCUUAAAUAGUCACUGAGCCUUGUGGAGUGUUUCAUGAAAGCUCCAGUGAUAAUAAAAGGCAUAUGCCCCUAUAUACGCCCUCAUCCACUAACCAACAACAAGUUUUAGUUGUGUUUGAAGACCUGUCACCACUUGUCCUAUGCUGCUGUAAACACUGAAAGUACCUCAUCUAUCACUUUGGACACGUCCACACUUAAUGCUAUUCUUGAAAAUAUCCAAUACAUGGGAGAAGAUGAUCUGCAGGAUCCUGCUACUCAUCAUCCUCACCUCAUGUGUCUCUGGAUCAUUUGUAGUCAAUGUGACACAGACCUGCUAUCAGGCAGAGGAGAACCACAACAUCACACUGGAGUGGACGUUCACCACCAAACCUGACAGAUCCACCAAAACUCUCAACGUCCUCUGUGAACUGAUAACUGAGCGUACAGAUUCAGUCCUGUAUCGUGUUCAAGAAGGUGUUGAGGUGUCAGAGUCUCAGGAUGAAAAGUUUUCAGGACGAGUUGAGAGUGACAAAGACGCCCUCAGAGAAGGACGAAUCAGACUUCAACUGUUUAGACUCAGGACUGAUGACUCGGGUCUGUACCUGUGUGAACUGAACACAGAUUAUGGCUUUGGCUCAGCCAGAUGUAGACUCAGCAUCAGUGCUUCGGAUGACCCCAAACGUCCAAGUCCAACAGUGAACACACAACCAGAGAGUCGAGGAUGGCUCAACCUGUAUCCUUUACUUAUACUGCCAGCAGCAGCUUUAUUGAUCAAACUCUGUUAUAAAAUCAUAAAACGAAAACAUAACCUAAAUCUAAACAGUCACCGCCUAGGCAGCGAAUGCAGUGAAGCAGUAGUCAACUUGAAUAAUUCAGAUGCCACUCACCUUGCUGCUUCAUUAGAAGCCACAUCCAUCAUCUUCUGAGUGUGGACAUGACUUCCCUGAACUCCAAAGAUUGUCAUGUUAACAGCUGGGUCUGCAGUGGAAGAUUUGUGGGAGCAUCAACCUCAGUGAGAGCUGAGAAACACUGUCUGCAGUCUGUAGCCAUCAUCAAAAACACUGAUGGAAACAUUCAAAGCUCUUGUCACGUAUAUCAUUAAUAAUAUUUCCUUCCUCUUUUGGUUCUAACAUUUGUUUUUGUUAGAUAUGGUAUGAGGAAUCUUUAAUUUUUGUCCAUUAGCAUCCAGAGUGAUUGAAAUCACUUGUUGUUCUCCCAUCAGCUGUUAUAAAUUAGUACUGGUUAAAAUGUGCCUGAACUCAAGUUGUUAAAGGAAUUCUAAGUGUUACAGUGAACUCCUAAUAAUUUGACUAUGGAUCACCAUAGGUAGAAUUUACUUUUUCUAAAGUUAAUGUUUAUGUGUAUAUAUUGUAAACAAGUCCUUAUUUAUAUGAAAGAAGUUAUGAUUCUUCUGUAUAUGUGUGUGUCCAAAUCAUUUUAUCAAAGGGUCAGAAGAUCUUAAAGAGGUCUAUAAUACCAAGUGUAAUCUAACAUGUUUGGUACUAUUACUUUACAAGGUGUAUUACAAGAAGGACAGGAGUUUGAUAAUUAUUUAAAAUAUAUAAAACACUGAAUGUGUACAUAUAAAGCAACAAAGUUGUUUACGCCAACUCUUAAUCGUAACAUUAUUCUACUUAAAGAAUAUUUAGUUGGCGUUGAAAUGACUUUUUCUCUCUCAGCACUGAAAAUCUAACACUUGAUUCUGCUGAGUUUUUCUGCUAUCAGCUUCUGUCUCUGCUUUCAUAAAAUAAAAUGAUCGAUCUUUUUGAUCAACAACACAAACAAUGGUGGUGACACUUUCUGUCGAAAAACACUGCGGCAUGAUGGGAACAGCUGCAGUUGUUUACAUAAAUCAGGGGUGUUGAACUCCAGGUUUUGAGGGCCGGUGUCCUGCAGGUUUUAGAUCUCACCCUGGGUCAACACACCUGAAUCACAUGAUUAGUUCAUUACCAGGCCUCUGGAGAACCACUUUAACUGGUUUUGAACUGGUUCUAACUGAUUAUAGUUGUUGUCAGCCAGUUGUGGCAGAUGACUGCCCCUCCCUGAGCCUGGUUCUGCAGAAGGUUUCUCCCACUUUAAAGUAGUGAUGGGCAGAUGAAGCUUCAUGAAGCACUGAAGCUUUUCAUCCAAUUGGUUCACCCCAGUGCAAAGCUUCUUGAAGCUUCAUUUGCUCUAGUAGGACACCUACUGGACGUAAAAAUAUUAGUUGGCAUGAAUUUGAAGUGUGUGGCCUUUUGCACACAGCCUGUAAAUGUCAACAACAAAAGGAGUGUGUAAAACAUCUAUAUUGUAUUGAUGGCAGUAUACUGUGUAUAUUUAUACUGGCAGUAUGGAAAAUGAUCAUUUGGAAAUGCUUAAAAUGGAAAUAAUCAUUUACUGUGAGGUGAGGUGUGGUUGGGGUAUGGACAGUGGUUGUGCUCUUGUAACGUUGAGGUAUGGACAGCUACACACUGAGGCGUCAGUCCUGCCCAUAUUCUAUUCAGUAAAAACUAAAUUUUCACUGCUUUUAUAACCUUUAGUGGGGAGAGCAUAGCUAGGAUUUAAUGAUUUAACAAAUCUUUUGAAUCCUUUGUCCUCCACAAUGCUAAAUGGCUGGGAGUCCUCAAUCACCAUGCUAACCAGG
ensembl:lncRNA